rnacentral:rRNA from 1 species
CCUACGGGAGGCUGCAGUGAGGAAUAUUGGUCAAUGGGCGCGAGCCUGAACCAGCCAAGUAGCGUGAAGGAUGACUGCCCUACGGGUUGUAAACUUCUUUUAUAAAGGAAUAAAGUGAGGCACGUGUGCCUCUUUGCAUGUACCUUAUGAAUAAGGAUCGGCUAACUCCGUGCCAGCAGCCGCGGUAAUACGGAGGAUCCGAGCGUUAUCCGGAUUUAUUGGGUUUAAAGGGUGCGUAGGCGGCCCGUUAAGUCAGUGGUGAAAGUCUGUGGCUCAACCAUAGAAUUGCCGUUGAUACUGGGAUGCUUGAGUAUGUUUGAGGCAGGCGGAAUGCGUGGUGUAGCGGUGAAAUGCUUAGAUAUCACGAAGAACCCCGAUUGCGAAGGCAGCCUGCCAGGCCAUGACUGACGCUGAUGCACGAAAGCGUGGGGAUCAAACAGGAUUAGAUACCCGGGUAGUC